UUGAUUAGAGAUUCAUAAAAAGAAAAAUAGAGUUUAUCAGUAGGUAUGUAUGAUCUGUGAAAAAUUAAGAGAAUAAAAAACAAUUUCCACAAUAGCAAGGUUUUUCAAUGUGGUCACAAAUUGUAUUUUUCACUAUAGGGGGUUCGGCGGUCAAUGAAGAUUCAGAUUUCGUGACGUUUCCGCACAUAGAUUUAAAUAAUAGAUACCGCAUGUCAAA